rnacentral:rRNA from 1 species
AACGUAGGAGACAAACGUUAUCCGGAGUUACUGGGCGUAAAGGGCGUGUAGGCGGUUAGUUAAGUCUGGCGUGAAAGCUCUCGGCUAAACCGGGAGAGGUCGUUGGAUACUGGCUGACUAGAGGACGGUGAGGAGCUGUGGUGAAUUCCGGGUGUAGUGGUGAAAUGCGUAGAGAUCCGGAGGAACACCAGUGGCGAAGGCGACACGCUGGGCCGUACCUGACGCUAAAGCGCGACAGCAUGGGGAGCAAACGGG